AGUGAACGCUGGCGGUAGGCCUAACACAUGCAAGUCGAACGGCAGCACAGUAAGAGCUUGCUCUUACGGGUGGCGAGUGGCGGACGGGUGAGGAAUACAUCGGAAUCUACUUUUUCGUGGGGGAUAACGUAGGGAAACUUACGCUAAUACCGCAUACGACCUACGGGUGAAAGCAGGGGAUCUUCGGACCUUGCGCGAUUGAAUGAGCCGAUGUCGGAUUAGCUAGUUGGCGGGGUAAAGGCCCACCAAGGCGACGAUCCGUAGCUGGUCUGAGAGGAUGAUCAGCCACACUGGAACUGAGACACGGUCCAGACUCCUACGGUAGGCAGCAGUGGGGAAUAUUGGACAAUGGGCGCAAGCCUGAUCCAGCCAUACCGCGUGGGUGAAGAAGGCCUUCGGGUUGUAAAGCCCUUUUGUUGGGAAAGAAAAGCAGCAGGUUAAUACCCCGCUGUUCUGACGGUACCCAAAGAAUAAGCUCCGGCUAACUUCGUG
rnacentral:rRNA from 1 species